GGCGUAGAUGCUUAGGCAAUCGAGUAGACCGCGAGUAAUUUGACCCAACGCGUGCCCUAUAUGUAAUUAGGUCAACGUUUGACAUAACGGUAUUAUUAUAGUAGAUACUUUGUGUAAUAUAGGACACGCGUGGGGGCUUAGUGUGCUCAUAAUAUAAAAAUGGUUAUAAUCUGAUCGUGUGUUGGAGGUAACAGUGACUGUCAACAACUGAUAAAAUAGUAGGACGUGGAUGACUGAUAAAAAAAAGUAAGUAGGAAAAAGUAAAAUAUAUACAAAAUGAAAAGGAGGUGGAACAUGUAACAGGAAAAAACAGGAUUUUACCACAACAGUGCCAAAAAUAGUUGUAUUGUUAGAAGAAAAUAAAUAGUAUUAACUCUGUUUGAACAUCAAGAGGCUUUUCGUAUAUCAAGAAAAUAUAUGGGAAUAAGUUUUUUAUUUGUUUUUGUUAUUGGUGUUUUAAUUGACUACAAAUAAGCAAGGAACAAAGGCUUUUUGAGUGAAUUUGAUCUUUUUAACUAAUUCAACUUUGCUUAGAGGUGAGUAUGUAUGCAUCACCCUGAUUUACUAAAAAUAGUAAGAUAAGUGUAUACUAAGUCUUUAAAAGAAUCGUCUUUGAUUUCUUUUUAAUAUAACUUAUGCAAUAGUGAAUUUUCU
rnacentral:lncRNA from 1 species